rnacentral:rRNA from 1 species
GUCUGGGAAACUGCCUGAUGGAGGGGGAUAACUACUGGAAACGGUAGCUAAUACCGCAUAACGUCGCAAGACCAAAGAGGGGGACCUUCGGGCCUCUUGCCAUCGGAUGUGCCCAAAUGGGAUUAGCUAGUAGGUGGGGUAACGGCUCACCUAGGCGACGAUCCCUAGCUGGUCUGAGAGGAUGACCAGCCACACUGGAACUGAGACACGGUCCAGACUCCUACGGGAGGCAGCAGUGGGGAAUAUUGCACAAUGGGCGCAAGCCUGAUGCAGCCAUGCCGCGUGUAUGAAGAAGGCCUUCGGGUUGUAAAGUACUUUCAGCGGGGAGGAAGGCGAUAAGGUUAAUAACCUUGUCGAUUGACGUUACCCGCAGAAGAAGCACCGGCUAACUCCGUGCCAGCAGCCGCGGUAAUACGGAGGGUGCAAGCGUUAAUCGGAAUUACUGGGCGUAAAGCGCACGCAGGCGGUCUGUCAAGUCGGAUGUGAAAUCCCCGGGCUCAACCUGGGAACUGCAUUCGAAA